rnacentral:lncRNA from 1 species
GCAGAUUGUCCAAUAAAAAUAGCUGGUCUCACAUUUGGAUAAAAUUUACCCAAAAAUCGUAAAAUCUCUUCGGCGCUAGAGCGGAUUUCAACAAAAAUCAUAAUUCUGGUAUCCUUGGUUUGUUCUUUUUCAAAAUAUUCUGUAACAAUACGUUCCAAAUGCUCUAGUUUGGGAUGUCCGACAAAAGACUGAUCUCGCAACAAAAUUUCUAUAUCGUCCAUUAAAGGACGAUAAUUUUCGUGAUUUAUUAUGCGUUUCUUAUAACCUGAUCUUCCUACAAAGCAUUCUUCUUCUACCUCUCGCAAUUUUUGAUAAAACGGUCGGAUACCAUGGUUGAGUAACAAAUUUAAAGGAUAGGCAAAAGUCGCUAAUGCAUCAAAAGUAUUUAAAAUAUCCCAUUUUUGAUUAGCAGGAAAGUUUUGACCAGACAUUGCAAGAAAAGCUUGUUUAGCUUGAACCACAGUGAAAGAAGUUAUGUCUUUAGCAUUCUGAAUUCGAUAAUAAUUACCCUUGUUCAAUUUUUGAAGCAUAGGUUCCAAUAUAGAAGAAAAUCGAUCUCUUAUAUCUGUAAUCUCUGCAGACAAAUCUACAGGAAAAAAAUCCACCUCUUUCUUCUGAACGUAUUGCGAUAUAUCAAUGCUGUUUUCAGUUCUAAUCUCAAUCCUGGAUAUAUGAAGAGAAUCAAUUACAUUCUGAAUUGCUUCUAACUUAUUUCCGGGGGUAGCACUAAGAGCCAGUAUACGGAAAUUUUUGUUGCUAAGAGAAAGUAGAUGAACAACUUCCACAUAAGCGUAAUUUCCAGUACUACGAUGUGCUUCAUCAAUUACUAAACAAGAUAUACGAGUCCGAUCGCAAAUUCCAUGCUUGAUGUCGUUUAAAAUGGUUUGAGGAGUUACGAAGAAAACAUUUCGACUUUGAUAAUACUGAUUUCGAGUUGUAACAGGAACGUGUCCACUUAAUUCAGCAGUUUGACUCUUUGGAAUUCCAGUGAUUUUAUAGCAAGCUUCCAUUUGUUGUGUAACCAAUGGUUUAGUAGGAGCCAUGAAAACAAUGUAACUUUUUGGAAACCAACGAAGAUAAUUCAUCAUCACAACGGCUGCAAUAAAUGUUUUACCUAAACCUGUUGGCAAAGCUACAAGUACAUUUUCAAAUAAAGCUUUUUGGACAAUAUUAAACUGAUAAUCUCGAAAGGAGACGUUUAUAGGGUAUACCCAUUGCUGUGCUGCACUUUCAUCUAACUCGUGUUGUAGACGAUAUCUAUUGGAAUCGUUGGCAUCAAAAUAUUCAUCAACUGAGUAUCCAUUUAAACCUAUCGUGUUAUUAUGAUAUUCAUUCUCAAUUUUAUCAACUACUUGGGUGUCCAAUUCGUCCCAGUCUUCAUCACUACUAAAAGAAUCAUCGGACAUCCUUAUCAAUGAUUUAUAUUGUUAGCAAAAAUUUAGCUGGAAUUACUUAAAAACGAAUUUUGCUAAGGUACUUCGUUUCGUCAGUCGUCAAAUACAACAAUUCCAUAAGACAUUCACUGCAAAGCGUCCUUUAUUGUCGGAAG